UACCCGCAGCACAAGUGGUGGUCAUUAUUAUUGGGCCUAAAGCGUCCGUAGCUGGCUUGUUAGAUGCCUGGGUAAAUCGAUGCGCUUAACGCAUCGAAUUCCGGGUAGACCGGCAAGCUCGAGACCGGGAGAGGUGUAGGCUACUCGAGGGGUAGGGGUAAAAUCCUGUAAUCCUUCGGGGAGGACCAGUGGCGAAGGCGCUACACUAGAACGGCUCUGACAGUGAGGGACGAAGCCCUGGGGCGCAAGCCGG
rnacentral:rRNA from 1 species